GGUUGGCUUAGAAGCAGUCAUCCUUUAAAGAGUGCGUAACAGCUCACUAGUCAAGUGAUUCUGCGCCGAAGACACCCGGGGCUCAAGCAUAUUACCGAAAUUAUGGAUUCUAUGGUAGUCAAACAUAGAGUGGUAGAGGAGCGUUCCUGCCGCACUGAAGGCAUACCGUAAGGAGUGCUGGAGUUGCAGGAAGUGAGAAUGUCGGAAUAAGUAGCGAUAAGAGAGGUGAAAAUCCUCUCCGCCGAAAACCUAAGGUUUCCUUGAGUAAAGUUCGUCUGCUCAGGGUUAGUCGAUCCUAAGCCGAGGUCGAAAGACGUAGGCGAUGGGUAUCCGGUUAAUAUUCCGGAACUAUCUUUGGUGCGCAUAAUGUGUUCGGCUACGCUUUUCAGUAGGUCAUCAUACGAUUGGAAGUGUAUGUUGCCCUCCGCGAGGGGGGGAGGACCUGAGGUAAACUCGGGGAACUGACUGUAUGAAAAGCCAAGAAAAACCCGGACACCUGUGCCAGAGGUAAACGUACCGCAAACGGACACACGUAGGUGGGGUGAAAAUCCUAAGGCGCGCGAGAUAACUUUCGUUUAGGAACUCGGCAUAUUAGCCCCGUAACUUCGGGAUAAGGGGUGCCUGUGGCAACACAGGUCGCAGUGAAAUGGCCCUCGUGACUGUUUAACAAAAACACAGGACUCUGCUGAAAUCGCAAGAUGAUGUAUAGGGUCUGACGCCUGCCCGGUGCUGGAAGGUCAAGGGGAGGAGUUAGCGCAAGUGAAGCUCUGAACUUAAGCCCCAGUAAACGGCGGCCGUAACUAUAACGGUCCUAAGGUAGCGAAAUUCCUUGUCGGGUAAGUUCCGACCUGCACGAAUGGCGUAACAAAGAGGGCACUGUCUCAACGAAAGACUCGGCGAAAUUGUGGUACCCGUGAAGACGCGGGUUGCCUGCGGCUAGACGAAAAGACCCCGUGGAGCUUUACUGUAUCUUAGUCUUGAAUUAUGGAAGUAAAUGCGUAGAAUAGGCGGGACCCUUUGAGGCAUGGCUUUCGGGUUGUGCAGAGGGGCAAUGUGAAAUACCGCUCUUUUAGUUUUGUGAUUCUAACUCUUGUGUUUGAAUCAACAAGGAGAACAUGGCUAGGUGGGCAGUUUAACUGGGGCGGUUGCCUCCUAAAUAGUAACGGAGGCGUUCAAAGGUACCCUCAGGACCAAUAGAAAUGGUCUAUAGAGUGCAAGUGCAGAAGGGUGCUUAACUGCAAGACAAACAGGUCGAGCAGAUGCGAAAGCAGGAACUAGUGAUCCGGCGGUUCAGUGUGGAAUUGCCGUCGCUCAACGAAUAAAAGCUACCCCGGGGAUAACAGGCUUAUUUUCUCCGAGAGUCCAUAUCGACGAGAAAGUUUGGCACCUCGAUGUCGGCUCAUCCCAUCCUGGGGCUGGAGUAGGUCCCAAGGGUUUGGCUGUUCGCCAAUUAAAGGGGUACGCGAGCUGGGUUCAGUACGUCGUGAGACAGUACGGUCUCUAUCUACCGUGGGCGCAGGAAACUUGAGAGGACUCGUUCUUAGUACGAGAGGACCGGAAUGAACAUACCUCUGGUGUUUCGGUUGUUCCGCCAGGAGCAUUGCCGAGUAGCCAAGUAUGGAUGAGAUAAACACUGAAAGCAUAUAAGUGUGAAACUCACCUCAAGAUAAGGUUUCCCCGAAGGGCACUUGUAGACUACAAGUUUGAUAGGCUGGAAGUGGAAGUACAGUAAUGUACGUAGCUAACCAGUACUAAUUGCCCGUCUGGCUUGGUCGC
rfam:Candidatus Endomicrobium trichonymphae strain CET450 CET450_Contig2186, whole genome shotgun sequence.